AAAGGAUCCUUCACAAGCUUUGACAUCAGUGGGACUACUCACAAUGCAUACAAUUAAGCAACCAAUAUAUUUUGUGGAGUAAAGGACAACUAUUUUGUUAAAUGGCCUCUAAUUUUUCACCUCUAAUUAAGUGUUGGAAUAAAUAGAGAAUGCACAAGAUACAUGGUGCCCAUUUGGGAACCUCCAACACUACUGUAAUAUCGACAACCUUCCAUUUCUUCUUUGUGAUGCACAUUUAUAAAAUGAGAAUGUUGCCUCAUUCUGUUGAGAAUACUUCUUUGGCAGUUAGCUGGGUUGGGAACCUUAUUCUCUUGGUUGUAUCCCACAGUGACAAACAGGAGACAGAGAUUAGCGGCAGUAAAGACAUACAAGCAAAACUUGAUUCCACCAAGAUUCAGGUCCUGCCUCCUUUUACUGAACAAGAUGGGAAAGUAUCCUACAUGUGCUUCAUUGAGGAUUUUUACCCAAAUGUUAUUAAGGUGACUUGGGAAGCUGAGAACAAGAAUGAAGAGAAAAAUGGAGUGCACGAGGAAAUUUGGCCCCCUGAUGACAAUCAACAGUCAUACUCAUUGAGCAGCUGGCUGACCAUAGAUAAAGAUAGUAGCAAGAAUUAUAGCUGCAAAUAUCAACAUGAAAUCCAAGGAGGUUUUGUCCCCACCAAAUCUCCAGACAAAUCUGUAGUAUCUCAAACCGCAGAAAGUUGUAUCAACAAACCUGGAAACGGCACCACGCUUUCCACAGAUAUUACAUACAGUUUCAUACAUAGGACGGCAUCUUUAAUAUACAUUGUCCUUCUCCUGAAAAGCACCAUGUACUACGUCAUCGUACUCUUCUUCAUAUACAGGAUGCAAAGUCCAAUCAAGCGCCGGGGAAAAAAACCUUAAACUUCCCCUUACACCUUCCAACGUCAGCAUUUGUGUCUGAAAUAUACUUUGCUUUGCUAUAAGCCUGAUCAUAUGAAACAUCUUGCUCUAAAUAUUAAGACAUUCAUUUCAAUUUGAUUUUGUUGGCUAUUUCUCUAAUUAGCACAGAUGGCUUCUUCUGCUUGAGAGUGAACAGUUUUAUGUGUGACCAUUUUUCCUCUUUUAUUAUUUUAAAUUUGUAACUGUGGAACUUCAAGGGCUGAGGCUACACUCCUUGAUUUCAAUAGGAAUUUUGCAUCACAAAGCCGUCCUGAAUCAUUCACUUAGUCUCUUAACCUGCAAAAACACUUGUGCACACAAAGAACUUUUUCAAUGUGGAUAGGCCAACUGCACUCAGUGAAGUCCCAUAAAUACAUCUCUAUCUAGAUAUAACGCUGUCCUCGGGAGCCAAAAAGUCUUACCGCGUUAUAUGUAAAACCGCAUUAUAUCGAACUUGCUUUGAGCCGCCGGAGUGCACAGCCCCCACCCCCUGAGCACUGCUUUACCACUUUAUAUCAAAUUUGUGUUAUAUCCGGUCGUGUUAUAUCGGGAUAGAGGUGUAUUUACAGGGGUGGAGUCCUAAUCUGUAACUUAAAAUGAUUUGUCAUUUCAUUUCUACUAAAUACAUUUAUUUGCUUUAUAAAACAAAAACAGGCUUCUAAAAUAUGACUAAUUUUCUUUAAGUGACAGAUUAAUGUAUUUAAAAUAAAAUUCAGCAUUGUA